rnacentral:rRNA from 1 species
UGGGGAAUUUUGGACAAUGGGGGAAACCCCGAUCCAGCCAUCCCGCGUGUGCGAUGAAGGCCUUCGGGUUGUAAAGCACUUUUGGCAGGAAAGAAACGUCAUGGGUUAAUACCCCGUGAAACUGACGGUACCUGCAGAAUAAGCACCGGCUAACUACGUGCCAGCAGCCGCGGUAAUACGUAGGGUGCAAGCGUUAAUCGGAAUUACUGGGCGUAAAGCGUGCGCAGGCGGUUCGGAAAGAAAGAUGUGAAAUCCCAGAGCUCAACUUUGGAACUGCAUUUUUAACUACCGGGCUAGAGUGUGUCAGAGGGAGGUGGAAUUCCGCGUGUAGCAGUGAAAUGCGUAGAUAUGCGGAGGAACACCGAUGGCGAAGGCAGCCUCCUGGGAUAACACUGACGCUCAUGCACGAAAGCGUGGGGAGCAAACAGG